rnacentral:rRNA from 1 species
AUUGAACGCUGGCGGCAGGCCUAACACAUGCAAGUCGAGCGGAUGAAGGGAGCUUGCUCCUGGAUUCAGCGGCGGACGGGUGAGUAAUGCCUAGGAAUCUGCCUGGUAGUGGGGGAUAACGUCCGGAAACGGGCGCUAAUACCGCAUACGUCCUGAGGGAGAAAGUGGGGGAUCUUCGGACCUCACGCUAUCAGAUGAGCCUAGGUCGGAUUAGCUAGUUGGUGGGGUAAAGGCCUACCAAGGCGACGAUCCGUAACUGGUCUGAGAGGAUGAUCAGUCACACUGGAACUGAGACACGGUCCAGACUCCUACGGGAGGCAGCAGUGGGGAAUAUUGGACAAUGGGCGAAAGCCUGAUCCAGCCAUGCCGCGUGUGUGAAGAAGGUCUUCGGGUUGUAAAGCACUUUAAGUUGGGAGGAAGGGCAGUAAGUUAAUACCUCGCUGUUUUGACGUUACCAACAGAAUAAGCACCGGCUAACUUCGUG